rnacentral:lncRNA from 1 species
AUGGUCCAACCCGCCAUUCCCGGUCCUGUCAUUCCUCCGGAAUUCCCAUGGGAAGAGGAACGGUUUCCUUGGGAUCUGGAAGGGUUGGGAUGGUCCAAUCCCACCGUUCCCUGUCAUCCCUCCGGAAUUCCCGUGGGAAGAGGAACGGUUUCUUCGGGAAUUCCGGAAGGGUUGGGAUGGUCCAACCCCACCAUUCCCGGUCCUGUCAUCGCUCCGGAAUUCCCGUGGGAAGAGGAACGGUUUCCUCGGGAUCUGGAAGGGUUGGGAUGGUCCAACCCCACCAUUCCCUGUCCUUCCAUCCCUCCGGAAUUCCCGUGGGAAGAGGAACGGAUUCCUCGGGAUCUGGAAGGGUUGGGAAGGUCCAAUCCCACCAUUCCCGGUCCUGUCAUCGCUCCGGAAUUCCCGUGGGAAGAGGAACGGUUUCCUCGGGAAUUAAAAGGGUUGGGAUGGUCCAACCCCGCCAUUCCCUGUCCUGUCAUCCCUCCGGAAUUCCCGUGGGAAGAGGAACGGUUUCCUCGGGAAUUAAAAGGGUUGGGAUGGUCCAAUCCCACCAUUCCCUGUCAUCCCUCCGGAAUUCCCGUGGGAAGAGGAACGGAUUCCUCGGGAAUUCCGGAAGGGUUGGGAUGGUCCAACCCUGCCAUUCCCUGUCAUGGCUCCGGAAUUCCCGUGGGAAGAGGAACGGUUUCCUGGGAUCUGGAAGGGUUGGGAUGGUCCAACCCCGCUGUGCCAUGUCCUGUCCUGUCAUUGCUCCGGAAUUCCCGCGGGAAUCGGAACGGUUUCCUCGGGAACUGGAAGGGUUGGGAUGGCCCAAUCCCACCAUUCCCUGUCCUUCCUCUGGAAUUCCCGUGGGAAGAGGAACGGUUUCUUCGGGAAUUAAAAGGUUUGGGAUGGUCCAAUCCCACCAUUCCCUGUCCUUCCAUCCCUCCGGAAUUCCCGUGGGAAGAGGAACGGUUUCCUCGGGAACUGGAAGGGUUGGGAUGGUCCAAUCCCGCCAUUCCCUGUCCUUCCUCCGGAAUUCCCGUGGGAAGAGGAACGGUUUCCUGGGAACUGGAAGGGUUGGGAUGGUCCAACCCUGAAAUUCCCUGUCAUUUUUCCGGAAUUCCCGUGGGAAGAGGAACGGAUUCCUCGGGAAUUAAAAGGGUUGGGAUGGUCCAACCCCACCAUUCCCUGUCCUUCCUGUCAUCCCUCCGGAAUUCCCAUGGGAAGAGGAACGGUUUCCUCGGGAAUUAA